AUUGAACGCUGGCGGCAUGCUUUACACAUGCAAGUCGAACGGCAGCACGGGGGCAACCCUGGUGGCGAGUGGCGAACGGGUGAGUAAUGCAUCGGAACGUACCCGGGAGUGGGGGAUAACGUAGCGAAAGUUACGCUAAUACCGCAUAUUCUGUGAGCAGGCAAGUGGGGGACCGUAAGGCCUCACGCUUCUGGAGCGGCCGAUGUCGGAUUAGCUAGUUGGUGGGGUAAAGGCUUACCAAGGCGACGAUCCGUAGCGGGUCUGAGAGGAUGAUCCGCCACACUGGGACUGAGACACGGCCCAGACUCCUACGGGAGGCAGCAGUGGGGAAUUUUGGACAAUGGGCGCAAGCCUGAUCCAGCCAUGCCGCGUGAGUGAGGAAGGCCUUCGGGUUGUAAAGCUCUUUUGUUGGGGAAGAAAUGCUCUGGGUUAAUACCCUGGGGUGAUGACGGUACCCAAAGAAUAAGCACCGGCUAACUACGUGCCAGCCGCCGCGGUAA
rnacentral:rRNA from 1 species